AGAGUUUGAUCCUGGCUCAGAUUGAACGCUGGCGGAAUGCUUUACACAUGCAAGUCGAACGGCAGCACGGGGGCAACCCUGGUGGCGAGUGGCGAACGGGUGAGUAAUACAUCGGAACGUGCCCAGUCGUGGGGGAUAACGCAGCGAAAGCUGUGCUAAUACCGCAUACGAUCUACGGAUGAAAGCGGGGGACUCGCAAGGGCCUCGCGCGAUUGGAGCGGCCGAUGGCAGAUUAGGUAGUUGGUGGGGUAAAGGCUCACCAAGCCUGCGAUCUGUAGCUGGUCUGAGAGGACGACCAGCCACACUGGGACUGAGACACGGCCCAGACUCCUACGGGAGGCAGCAGUGGGGAAUUUUGGACAAUGGG
rnacentral:rRNA from 1 species